AACAAACGCUGGCGGCGUGCCUAAUACAUGCAAGUCGAACGGGGAAAGCUUUCGGGUGAGUACUAGUGGCGCACGGGUGAGGAACGCGUGGAUAAUCUGCCUUAGAGUGGGGGAUAACUAGUCGAAAGAUUAGCUAAUACCGCAUAAGACCACAGGAGCUGCGGCUCUAGGGGUCAAAGGUUUUUCGCUCUAAGAUGAGUCCGCGUAAGAUUAGCUAGUUGGUGAGGUAACGGCUCACCAAGGCGACGAUCUUUAACUGGUCUGAGAGGAUGAUCAGUCACACUGGAACUGAGACACGGUCCAGACUCCUACGGGAGGCAGCAGUAGGGAAUAUUGCACAAUGGAGGAAACUCUGAUGCAGCGACGCCGCGUGAGUGACGAAGGCCUUCGGGUCGUAAAACUCUGUCGCAGGGGAAUAACACAAUGAAUGUACCCUGUAAGAAAGGAUCGGCUAACUUCGUGCCAGCAGCCGCGGUAAAAC
rnacentral:rRNA from 1 species